rnacentral:rRNA from 1 species
GGCGAACGGGUGAGUACACGUAGGCACUUACCUUGUGAACGGGAAUAACCCGGGAAACGGGGCUAAUGCCCGAUGUUGUCUCGGAUUCCAAAGGUCUGUCACAAGAUGGGCCUGCGUCCCAUUAGAUAGUUGGCGGGGUAACGGCCCACCAAGUCUACGAUGGGUAGCUGGUCUGAGAGGACGGCCAGCCACACUGGAACUGAGACACGGUCCAGACUUCUACGGAAGGCAGCAGUGAGGAAUAUUGCUCAAUGGGCGAAAGCCUGAAGCAGCGACGCCGCGUGAGGGAUGAAAUCCGUUAGGAUGUAAACCUCUUUUGCAGGGGAAGAAUGACGGUACCCUGUGAAUAAGCACCGGCCAACUACGUGCCAGCAGCCGCGGUAAUACGUAGGGUGCGAGCGUUGUCCGGAAUCACUGGGUGUAAAGGGUCCGCAGGCGGGCAAGCAAGUCGGUGGUGAAAGCCUUUGGCUCAACCAAAGAA